rnacentral:rRNA from 1 species
GAAUUUUGGACAAUGGGCGCAAGCCUGAUCCAGCCAUGCCGCGUGAGUGAAGAAGGCCUUCGGGUUGUAAAGCUCUUUCGGACGGAAAGAAAUCGCGCAGGCUAAUACCCUGUGCGGAUGACGGUACCGUCAUAAGAAGCACCGGCUAAAUACGUGCCAGCAGCCGCGGUAAUACGUAGGGUGCGAGCGUUUAUUGGAAUUACUGGGGGUAAAGCGUGCGCAGGCGGUUGAUUAAGACAGGCGUGAAAUCCCCGGGCUUAACCUGGGAAAUGCGCUUGUGACUGGUCAGCUAGAGUACGGCAGAGGGGGGUGGAAUUCCACGUGUAGCAGUGAAAUGCGUAGAGAUGUGGAGGAACACCGAUGGCGAAGGCAGCCCCCUGGGCCGAUACUGACGCUCAUGCACGAAAGCGUGGGUAGCAAACAGGAUUAGAUACCCUGGUAGUCCACGCCCUAAACGAUGUCAAAUAGUUGUUGGGAGGGUAAAACCUUCUAGUAACGUAGCUAACGCGUGAAGUUGACC